AUUGAACGCUGGCGGCAUGCCUAACACAUGCAAGUCGAACGAGUGGCGGACGGGUGAGCAAUGUCUGGAAACCUGCCUGAUGGAGGGGGAUAACUACUGGAACCGGUAGCUAAUACCGCAUACCAUCAGAUGUGCCCAGAUGGGAUUAGCUAGUUGGUGGGGUAACGGCUCACCAAGGCGACGAUCCCUAGCUGGUCUGAGAGGAUGACCAGCCACACUGGAACUGAGACACGGUCCAGACUCCUACGGGAGGCAGCAGUGGGGAAUAUUGCACAAUGGGCGCAAGUCUGAUGCAGCCAUGCCGCGUGUAUGAAGAAGGCUUUCGGAUUGUAAAGCACUUUCAUUGGGGAGGCGGUACCCGAAGAAGAAGCACCGGCUAACUACGUGCCAGCAGCCGCGGUAAUAC
rnacentral:rRNA from 1 species